AGAAGGGGGCGCUGUCCCGGGAAAGGGGAGCCAGGCCGCCGGCUCACCUGCUCCCUGCACUUGCCACAGAGCUGCCUGGGCAGCCCUGGCAGGCAGGGCCACUGCCAGGAGGAGCAGGAGGAAGAUGUGCAGAGCAAGGGCCAUGGUGCCUUGCCCUCUGCCAGUCCUGCAGCUCUUGCUGCUACUGCUGUGCUGCCACCGCUGUCCCAAUGUCAGCACCACCGCCACCACCGCCCCCUGGCAGGCAGGGCCACUGCCAGGAGGAGCAGGAGGAAGAUGUGCAGAGCAAGGGCCAUGGUGCCUUGCCCUCUGCCAGUCCUGCAGCUCUUGCUGCUACUGCUGUGCUGCCACCGCUGUCCCAAUGUCAGCACCACUGCCACCACCGCCGCUACUGCCGCAAAAGUUGUGGUCAAGGACUGCCUGAUCAGUGGCUGUGGAGCUGUGCAACCAUGGGGCUCUAGGACCUCUGUGACCUCAGAGCCUGCUGUGACCUCAGCCUGCUGUAACCUCAAGGCUGGGGCAGGAUUUUGUGGGAAUGGAUCUCAAGAGCUGCCCUUCCAGGAGAGUAGGUCCCUCCAGGCAGCUGGUUUGGUCCCUCCAAUCUUUUUUUUUUUUUUUUCCACAAGAGCUGAGUUACAUGACAUUGGCCAAGCCUUGCAGAAGCUUGUAACUGAUCACUGGGACAUGACUUCACUCCAGAGGUUAUUUUGCAUGUUACCUACAUAUGACAGCUGUUUACUUAGAGCGUGGAGCACUGCAACAAACAUACCAACUGGAGCAAUACAUGAAAUGCAACUUAAUUAUGGAAUGCACUGAAUUGCCUACUCCAAAUCCAGUAUUUUUACAAUAUAUAAAAAAGUACUGUUUGGAACAGAAAAGGACACAAAAUGUUUUUAAGCUCGUCAUGCUGUUGCCAAAGUACUGUUUUCACUUGGCAUUUUGCUCCAAUGUAUCUGCAAACUCAGUGGAAGUAAAGACUCCUACCACAAGAAAAAUAUUUUUAAAAAGCACCCUGUUUAUGAUUCUGCUGGGUUUGUAAGUAGUGGGCAGUGACCAUGGACAGAAGAAAGAAUAGUGGAAGAAUCCAGUGCUUAUCAGACGAGAUCUGGAUGUUAAUUCAACCACUAGCUUUUGGAUAGCCUCAACACCUGAAGUCAGCUCUCCUUGACUCACCAGAGGGACAGACAAACCUUCCAAAUAAAC
rnacentral:lncRNA from 12 species